rnacentral:rRNA from 1 species
GACGAACCGUGCGAACGUUGUUCGGAUUCACUGGGCUUAAAGGGCGCGUAGGCGGGUCAUCAAGUCUGGGGUGAAAUCCUUCGGCUCAACCGGAGAAGUGCCCCCCGAUACUGGUGGUCUGGAGGGAGGUAGGGGUGUGUGGAACUUCCGGUGGAGCGGUGAAAUGCGUAGAUAUCAGGAGGAACACCAAUAGCGAAGGCAGCUCGCUGGGACGGUACUGACGCUAAGGCGCGAAAGCGUGGGGAGCGAACAGG